rnacentral:tRNA from 1 species
AAGAAUUUAAGUUAAAUAAAACUAUUAACCUUCAAAGUUAAAAUUAGACUAUUCUAAUUCUUA